UUUAGCCAAAAUCAAGAGUGAGACACUUAACCAACUGAAUCACCUACGUGCCCCUAAGCCAUUUUACUCUCUGACAAUGAAGUCUCGAUAAGAAGAAAUGGGCAAAAAUAACACAAAGUAUGAGUUUAUGAAACACCUUUAAAUUUUACUGAAAAAUGUCACCCAUACAAAAAGGAUUUAUAAAU